GGCCCCCGAUGAUGUCAGCACUGGGCUCUGAACUCCUGUGAAGACAUCGGUGCCUCCUGGGGACUUGACACCCCGGGGAUGGAGGGGGCC